ACAUGGUUGGCUGCUAACAGGAGACAGGGAAGCAAAUCAAGCCUGUUACUCAGUAUUGUUGACAAACACAAAACUGUUCCAUGACAUCUCACCAACACCACCCUGAACUGCUAUAUUGCUGCAAACCCUUUGUACUAUACUUUGUUCAGGUGGGGACAAUGUCAGGACGCAUACUUCAUGUUAACCAAGGCCUUAAAAUAGGAACUAUCCCUACUCUGUGUUUGUAGGCAAAGGCACCCUCUAAUCACUGUAAAGAGGCAGGUGAAUGUCAUUGAUGUCACUGCCUUCUGACAUGGGGAUUAAAAUGUGGAUAAGAACCUGUGAGUGAAAAAGAUUUUUAUUUUUUAAAUGUGACUACCUACUACAUGAUGUCAUCUUUGUAUGUUUUUUUAUAAACAUUUGUGUAUAUUUAUGUAUAUUCAUUUCAGAAAAUAAUCCGACUGCAUGUAUAAUCCAGUACAGCUUUCUUGGCUUUGAAGCUUGUAUCAUUGUCAUCCUGCUUGCCUUGCUUCUUAAAUAUCACCUGCAAAGUUCAACUAGUGAUAAAUGCAAGGUGCAACUGGAAGGGCAGGAAUUGGAGAGAGGCCUUCAGUAUGCUGAAAUCUGCAAACAGAGAUUCCCUUCACAUCCAAGGAGCAGGCACAGGGAAGAAAAGAUAACAUAUGCAUCUGUCACAACAAAGUAAUACAGAUGGAGUAUGGAGUCUCAAAGCAUUCAUUCUCUGCUUGCACACACAUCAAAAUACUGUAGUAAAGCAUAUUUUUAAAAAACAUAAAAAAACACCCUCUCCUUUGACUCUUUUAUCUUGCCAGGCUUUGUGUUGCCAUUAAACAUGCAGUACAGCAUAAGGCUGAAUGCAACCCAGAACCACAUAAUCUACAGCACUGGCACAGUUGUAUUAAAAGCAAUAUUGCUUUUUCCUUUAAACAAAUAGGAUUUUUUGGAAUUUUUCUUGGUUCAUAUAUUGCAGUCUAUUUUAUCUGGCCAAACUACAACAAAGCCAACCCUAAACUGGCCAGUCCUCCA